rnacentral:rRNA from 1 species
GGGGGCAAAUUAAUAAUAAAUAAUUAAUAAAAAAAAUUUUAAUAUAAAAAUAUUUAAUGGGGGUUAAAGUAUUUUUAAUAGAAAAAAUUUUUAAAUUUAUAGUGUAAUAGUAUUGUAGAAGAAAUUUGAAAUAUAAUGAAAAAAAAAAUUUUUAAAAAGUAAAUUUUAUUUGUUGUAUCUUGUGUAUCAGAGUUUAUUAAUAAAAAUAUUUAUUUAAAAGUUUCUCGAAUUUAAAAGAGUUAAUUAGUUAUUAAAGUUAAUAUUGUAUAAUUAUUUUAAAUAAUUAAUUAGAAAUGAAAUGUUAAUCGUUUUUAAAUAUAUCUAGUUUUUUUAGAAAAAAAUUUAAUUUUAAAUAAUAAUAAAGUAAUUUUUAUUUUUAUAAAAAUUACAGAUUAUUGUUAAAUAUUUUAAGGGAUAAGCUUUAAAAUAAAUUUUUAUAAAUAUAAGUUUUUUUUUAAAAUAAAAUUUUAGAAUUUUUAUUGUUAAUAAAUUAUAAUUUUUUAUAAAUAAUUUAUUGAUUUAAUAAUUAAAAUUUAAUUAGAUUUUAAUUUUUUAUAAAAAAAUUAUUUUUAAUUUUGAAAAUUUAGAUAUAAUGAUAAAAUUAGUAUAUAAUUUAAUUUUAUUAUAAAUAUAAAUAUUAUGAUAAUUUUAAUAAAGGAAUUCGGCAAAUAUUUAUAUUCACUUGUUUAUCAAAAACAUGUCUUUUUGUUUAUAAUUUAAAGUCUAAUCUGCCCACUGAUAAAUAUAUUGAAGGGCUGCAGUAUUUUGACUGUACAAAGGUAGCAUAAUCAUUAGUCUCUUAAUUGGUGACUUGUAUGAAGGAUUUAAUGAAAUAUAAACUGUCUCUUUUAAAUUUAUAGAAUUUAAUUUUUUAGUCAAAAAGCUAAAAUUUAUUUAAAAGACGAGAAGACCCUAUAGAGUUUUAUAUUUAUAUUAAUUUUAAUUUUAUAUAAAAAUUUACUGUAUAUUAAAAUUAAUUAAAAUAUUUUAUUGGGGUGAUAGAAAAAUUAAAUAAACUUUUUUUUUAAAAAAAAAUUAACAUUGAUUUAUGAUUAAAUGAUCCGUAAAUUACGAUUAUAAGAAAAAAUUACCUUAGGGAUAACAGCGUAAUUUUUUUUUUUAGUUCAUAUAAAAAAAAAAGUUUGCGACCUCGAUGUUGGAUUAAGAUAAAAUUUAAAUGCAAAAGUUUAAAAUUUUGAUCUGUUCGAUCAUUAAAAUCUUACAUGAUCUGAGUUCAAACCGGUGUAAGCCAGGUUGGUUUCUAUCUUUAAUUUAAUUAAAUAUUUUAGUACGAAAGGAAUAAAUAUUUAAAAUAAUUUUGUUAAAAAGAAUUUUAUUAAUUUAUUAUGUAGAUAAG